rnacentral:rRNA from 1 species
UACCAGCACCCCGAGUGGUCGGGACGAUUAUUGGGCCUAAAGCAUCCGUAGCCGGUCAUGCAAGUCUUCCGUUAAAUCCAGCCGCUCAACGGUUGGGCUGCGGAGGAUACUACGUGGCUAGGAGGCGGGAGAGGCAAGCGGUACUCAGUGGGUAGGGGUAAAAUGCGUAGAUAUAUGAAAGAACAUCAAUGUGGCGAAGGCAGUUAACUAGUCUGUUACUGACAUUGAGGCAUGAAAGCGUGGGGAGCAAAACGG